rnacentral:tRNA from 1 species
GCGAUCGUGGUGUAACGGUUAACACUGGAGCUUGUGGAGCUCUCAAUCCGGGUUCAAUUCCCGGCGAUCGCCCCG